UGCCAGCAGCCGCGGUAAUACGAAGGGUGCAAGCGUUGUUCGGAAUCACUGGGCGUAAAGCGCGUGUAGGUGGUCUUGUAAGUCAGGUGUGAAAGCCCGGGGCUCAACCCCGGAAGUGCGCCUGAAACUGCAAAACUAGAGUCCUGGAGGGGAAAGUGGAAUUCCACAUGUAGAGGUGAAAUUCGUAGAUAUGUGGAGGAACAUCAGUGGCGAAGGCGACUUUCUGGACAGUGACUGACGCUGAGACGCGAAAGCGUGGGUAGCAAACAGGAUUAGAUA
rnacentral:rRNA from 1 species